AAGUCGUAACAAGGUUUCCGUAGGUGAACCUGCGGAAGGAUCAUUAACAAAUGAUUUGGUUUCAAACCAAAACACAUUGUGCAACUACAUCUGUCUCUGGUGGUGGGUUUCAAAGGUCUUUUGUUGUUUGAAACCUUCAGAAGAUCGCCAUCACCGAAUGAACAAACAUUUUGAUAUUUUAAUUUUUUGUCUGAAUCAUUCACUGUUUGUGCAAUGAAAAAACAACUUUUGACAACGGAUCUCUUGGCUCUC
rnacentral:misc_RNA from 1 species